rnacentral:rRNA from 1 species
UACAGAGGUCCCAAGCGUUGUUCGGAUUCACUGGGCGUAAAGGGUGCGUAGGCGGUCGGGUAAGUCUGACGUGAAAUCUUCAAGCUCAACUUGGAAACUGCGUCGGAUACUAUUCGGCUCGAGGAAUGGAGGGGAGACUGGAGUACUUGGUGUAGCAGUGAAGUGCGUAGAUAUCAAGUGGAACACCAGUGGCGAAGGCGAGUCUCUGGACAUUUCCUGACGCUGAGGCACGAAAGCCAGGGGAGCAAACGGG